GAUGCCCUCUCAGGAUCACACCUGGAGAGUUUCCAGUACUCUACCAGUCUCGACUACAAGAGGGAGAGUGAAGCAGAAACCUGUCCUUUCCAUUCCUAGCUUGGCCAGUGGCUAGUGAGUGGCAGGAGAUCUGCUACAAGUCAAAACUCACCAGUGUUGGGCAGCAGUGGCAGGGGAGAGAGUCGAAGACGGAGACUCAAGAUGGCUGUGCAGAAGGCGGCAAUGCUGUGAGACCACUGAUUCUCAACCGGUGGAGAACCUCCUGUGACACCUCUGUUGCAUCAGAGAGAUGCUCCUCUGCCGGGCACCCGGAGACGACCUUGAGGGUUUCACAUGUGCGUGGAGCAGCACCAGCGGAGGAUCCCCAGAGAUAUCCCCGCUUCCAGCAGACCGAUGCCCUGUACCGGGCUCCCAGACGAGGCCUUCAAGUGCUACCAGUGGUCAUCCUUGGAGCCGAAAUCUGGGAGGGGGACGGCAAAGCCUGGGCAAAAGAAAGACUGGCCUACAUUCAGCACUUAGAACAGUGUUUGGGACAUAGAUGAAAAAGCAGCAUAUAGAAGCAGUGUGGCUUAGUGGAGACAGCAUGGGCCCGGAAGUCAGAAGGACCUGGGUUCUAAACUCAGCUCCACCACAUGUCUGCUUUGUGACCUUGAGCAAGUCAGUUCACUUCUCUGAGCCUUGUUAUUUCAUCUGUAAAAUGGGAAUUGAGACUGUGAGCCACCCAGGAUAUUCUACGGAAACAGUAAUAACACUGGAGCUGCUUAUAAUACAUAAAAGAAACACUGAUUUUGAACUACAGAGCAAAAAUGGAAGACAUUGAAGAUGCUAGAGUGUAAACAAAUCCAAAUCCAAGUUCCUACCCAACACAUACUCAGUUCCAAAUGCAGGACCAUCCAUAAAGGAGUGCUUCAACCUGAGAUAACCCAGAGAGAAGAUGUAACCAACUUUUUCUCAGAACAUACAUUCACUAUCUGUACCCUUACUUCCACCUUAAUGCGACUGUUAUUGUCUUAUUUUUUUUGUUGGGGGCAGGGGGGAAGAGAAAGAGAGAAAGACCAGAAAAACUCACUGUCUGUCUGAGCUUCUUUCAUCAAAUGGACUCUUAAAAAAAAAUAUCUUGGAAGCAACUGAGUAAAUAAUGGUUUCUCCCGAAAAUCCCAAGCAUCAAUCACCUCUGGAAGCUUCCAGUAACACUGAAGACCAGGGAUUCCAAAAGCAGAAAAAUUUCAGAGGCUGGGAAAAAAGCUAAUGAAAUAUGUAAAUUCCACAUUCCUACCUGUCUGCUUUCACUUCCUCCAAUUCCUGGGCUCCGGGAGGGUCACCAAGAGAGAGCAGUUGGGAAAAAGAUAGGGUUAAUUCCAGUCUGUGGUGAUAUCUAUCCUUAUAGUUCUCAUGGGGUCCAAGGGAUCUCUGGCCCUAGGAUGCCCUCACAUAUGCUUCUCUCCCCCUUCCUGCCAGAAUAAAGCCUAAUGAAAUAUGUAAAUUCCACAUUCCUACCUGUCUGCUUUCACUUCCUCCAAUUCCUGGGCUCCGGGAGGGUCACCAAGAGAGAGCAGUUGGGAAAAAGAUGGGGUUAAUUCCAGUCUGUGGUGAUAUCUAUCCUUAUAGGUCUCAUGGGGUCCAAGGGAUCUCUGGCCCUAGGAUGCCCUCACAUAUGCUUCUCUCCCCCUUCCUGCCAGAAUAAAGCACAUAACUUAAGCAAUCAA